UAUACACUUUGGAUUUUGGUGACAAUACAAUUAUGUUUAUUCGUUAUCAUUAUAAAUUCAAGAUGGCCGCCGCUACAAAAUGGCGGAUAAUUUAUGUUUUAUUAAUCCCAUCAAUAUGGGUAUCAAAUGAAAGGGCUCAACAAGCAGAAUACAAUAUACUAUAAAAAAUUGAAGUCCAAGAUGGCGGCCGCUACAAAAUGGCGGAUAACGUAGGUUUUAUCGAUCCCAUCAAUAUG
rnacentral:misc_RNA from 1 species